UUAGUGCAUGAAUAUAGCAAAAGAAGGCGAAAUUAGUUGACAAAGACAGCGUCAAUUGUGAACUGUAAAAUUGUGAAUUGGCAAACACACGAAAGCAAGGUGUCUAGCAUAGCCGAACUGAGCUGAGACCGAGUCGUGCAUCAGUUCGUGUCGACUCAUCGUCAUCGUCGCCGUCGUCGCUGUCGUCGCUGUCGUCGUGGUGUGUGUUUAUUUAACACAGUUCCUCGUGCUUUGGCCACUCAGUUCGUAUUCGCAGCUCGUGCCGUGCGUUCGUCCUUCACCCAUACACACAAACACAUACACAUACAUACGUCCACACACAUACGCACGCGGAACACGCUCGCAUUUGUGAUCCGAUUCGGAAUUCGCGCUCAUCGCGGCGAACAUGUGAAUACAUUCAAACAAUUCGAAUCUAGUCGAGAUCAGUCGGUGCUCCCUGGCUCAAUGCUCCACAUCGUGUGCUCGCAUCGUUUUUGUUGUUGUUGUUGUCGUUGAGCGAGAAUACCAGCUGUUGCCUCUGAUCUCUCUCUGUGUGUGUGUGUGCGCGCGUGUCUGAGGAGUGCCGUCGCUUUAGUUUAUAGCCAUCGAAAGCGAGGACCAGCAAGAUGGCCAGCUUGCGGCAGAGCCUGCUCGGCGGUUGGCUGCUCGCGCUUGCCGCCCAAAUAAUUUAUGUGGAUUACGCUCGGGCGGAUUAUGAGAACACUUGGAAUUUAUAUUACGAGCCGCCGUGUUGCACGGGCGCAGCAGCAGCUGUUGGCCAUCACCUGCGGCAUCACAAAGAGCAUGUCAAGGACUUCAGCUGCGGCCCGCUGCACUACAAAACCUUUUACAUGGAUGAGCGCAACAAUGCGCUCUACGUCGGCGCCAUGGAUCGCAUUUUUCGUCUCAAUCUGCGCAACAUCAGCCAAUCGAUAUGCGAGCGCGAUGUGCUCAUACUGGAACCCACCGGCUCCGACAUACUCAACUGUGUGUCCAAGGGCAAGCGAGAGAAGGUGGAAUGCCGCAAUCACAUACGCGUCAUUCAGCCAAUGAACUUCAAUGGACAUCGACUCUACGUCUGCGGCACCAACGCGCACAAUCCCAAGGACUACGUUAUAAAUGCCAACUUAACACAUUUACCCAGAUCCCAGUACGUGCCCGGCAUAGGGUUGGGCAUCGGCAAGUGUCCCUACGAUCCCGCUGACAACUCAACCGCCGUCUAUGUGGAAAACGGAAAUCCCUUUGGUUUGCCAGCGCUGUACGCGGGCACAAAUGCGGAAUUCACCAAAGCCGACUCGGUUAUAUUUCGCUCGGACCUCUUCAACUUCACCAAUGGCCGCAAAGAGGCCAACUUCAAGCGCACUGUUAAAUAUGACUCCAAAUUACUGGACAAACCAAAUUUCGUUGGCUCCUUUGACAUUGGGGACUUUGUCUACUUCUUCUUCCGCGAGCAUGCCGUGGAGUACAUCAACUGCGGCAAGGCCGUCUACUCGCGUGUGGCACGCGUCUGCAAGAACGAUCGCGGGGGCAAGUACAUGAUCAGCCAGAACUGGGCGACGUAUCUGAAGGCGCGCAUGAACUGCAGCAUCUCGAGCGAGUUCCCCUUCUACUUCAACGAAAUACAAUCCGUCUACAAGAUGCCCAACGACGAUAGCAAGUUCUAUGCCACGUUUACAACGAAUACAAACGGACUGAUUGGUUCGGCUGUCUGCAGUUACGAUAUCCGGGAUAUCAAUGCGGCCUUUGAAGGCAAGUUCAAGGAGCAGGCGACAUCGAACAGCGCCUGGCUGCCCGUGCUGAACUCGAAAGUGCCGGAGCCACGUCCGGGCACAUGCCACAACGACACCGCAACAUUGCCGGACUCGGUGUUAAAUUUCAUACGCAAACAUCCGCUAAUGGACAAGGCGGUCGAUCAUGAAUUUGGCAAUCCGGUGUUCUACAAACGAGACGUUAUACUCACCCGCCUCGUCGUCGACAAAAUACGCAUUGAUAAACUGAACCAAGAGUUUCUGGUCUACUUUGUGGCCACGAGCACCGGACACAUCUAUAAAAUCGUGCAGUUCAUGCACUACGGCCAACGCCACUCGAAUCUGGUGGACAUCUUUGAGGCGUCGCCACGCAACGAGCCCAUACGGGAGCUGACGCUCAGCCAGAAGACGGCCUCGCUCUACCUGGCCACCGAUCAUCAGGUGAAGCAGAUCGACUUGGCCAUGUGCGCGCGUCGCUACGACAGCUGCUUCCGCUGCGUGGCCGAUCCGUACUGCGGCUGGGACAAGGAGGUGAAUGCCUGCCGGCCGUAUCAGUUGGGCCUGCUGCAGGACGUGGCCAACGAGACGUCCGGCAUCUGUGACACGAGCGUGCUGCGCAAGCGCGUCACCUCCUCCUACGGCCAGACGCUGCACCUCUCCUGCUUCGUCAAGAUGCCCGAUGUGCUGCGCAAGAAGCAGACGCGCUGGUACCACCACUCCACGGAGAAGGGACGCUACGAGGUGCGCUACACGCCCACGAAAUACAUCGAGACCAACGAAGGCGGCCUGGUAUUGUUGGCUGUAAACGAGGGCGAUGGCGGCCGAUACGACAGCUAUCUGGAUGGCACCCUGCUCUGCAGCUACGGCGUCACCGUGGAUGCGCACAGAUGCUCGCCUCCUUCGCAGAAGCAGGACUACCAGAAGAUCUACUCGCACUGGUGCAACGAGUUCGAGAAAUACAAAUCAGCCAUGAAGCAGUGGCAGGCCAAGCAGGAGCAAUGCGGCCUCAAGGACAAAUCAGCAACAAGCAGCAACGGCGSCAGCAGCAGCAGCGGCAGCAGCUCUAGCAGCAGCAGCAGCAGCAAUGGCAAACAUGUCAACGAUGUGUUUAGCAACGACGCCCUGGUCUGACCCAGAAAGUACUUGUACAGCUCCGAGUUCUUGUCGGCGGGCGCACGCCCCAGUUUUGGCCAGCACUUGUACAUUUUCGUGUUUCUGCUAGCCCUGUGCACUAGUUUCUAAAAGUCUCUAGUCGAACUAGCCAGAGCAACAGCAACAGCAACAACAACAGCAACGAGCAGCAGCAGCAGCGAAAGGAUGGAGAGAAUCAGCACCCAGAAAGCAGUGACAAGAGCCGAGCAACCAACUACAAAGACUGAAAUUUUUAAGCUUUUGAAAGACAAUAUUUCAAUAUGUUUUCAAUAUGUGUUUUUAUUUGCUUCAUUUACACACACACACACACACAUAU